rnacentral:rRNA from 1 species
UACGUAGGACGCAAGCGUUAUCCGGAAUUAUUGGGCGUAAAGAGCUCGUAGGCGGUUUGUCGCGUCUGCCGUGAAAGUCCGGGGCUCAACUCCGGAUCUGCGGUGGGUACGGGCAGACUAGAGUGAUGUAGGGGAGACUGGAAUUCCUGGUGUAGCGGUGAAAUGCGCAGAUAUCAGGAGGAACACCGAUGGCGAAGGCAGGUCUCUGGGCAUUAACUGACGCUGAGGAACGAAAGCCAGGGGAGCAAACGGG